UAGAAUAACUACAACUACAGCUUCACUUUACAACAUAAAAACAUUCGCAUCUGCAGAUCAUUUCCUGGUUGUCUCCAGCGUCCGUGCUGACUUCCUCCUCCUCCUCUUCGUUCAGAGCGACCUUCCC